rnacentral:lncRNA from 1 species
ACUACAAACUUAAACUACAUAUAACUAAAAAUCCAUAUAACUACAUUUUCAUAUAACUACAUUUAAAUACAGUAUAACUACAAAUUCCCAUUAGGUGAUUUCGAGUACUACAUUUAGAACACACUUACAGUACAUUAUAACUACAAUUUGCCAACAGUUUACGUUAUAAAGAAUUGAUGCUUACAUAGAACACAUAAAAAUGUAAAUAGUGCCAACAGUCAAAUAUAUGAUUAUACUUCUUUAUUAUCGCCAAAACGUAGAACAGUUACACACUAAAUUCCGAUAAUUUGGGAUCACUAACAUGUAUUUUGAAUAACUAUUCUAGCUACAUUAUAUUCAUUUUUUUUUCGGCGCAUUCUUGCAAGUUCUUUUGUUAUGCCCUUCACCUCCACAAUUGCCACAUGACACCUUGUACUUCUUUGAGUUUAUUUCAUCAAAUGUNNN